AUACGUAGGGGGCGAGCGUUAUCCGGAUUUAUUGGGCGUAAAGCGUGUGUAGGCGGUCUAUUAAGUCUAAGAUCAAAGUCCGAGGCUCAACCUCGGUUCGUCUUAGAUACUGGUAGACUUGAGUGUGGUAGAGGCAAGUGGAAUUUCUAGUGUAGCGGUUAAAUGCGUAGAUAUUCGGAGGAACACCAGUGGCGAAGGCGGCUUACUGGUCCAUUACUGACGCUGAGGUGCGAAAGCGUGGGGAGC
rnacentral:rRNA from 1 species